UACGGGGGGUGCAAACGUUAUUCGGAAUCAUUGGGCGUAAAGGGCGCGUAGGCGGUCUUUUAAGUCAGAUGUGAAAGCCCCCGGCUUAACCGAGGAAGUGCAUUUGAUACUAAGAGACUUGAGUAUGGGAGAGGGAAGCGGAAUUCCUGGUGUAGCGGUGAAAUGCGUAGAUAUCAGGAGGAACACCGGUGGCGAAGGCGGCUUCCUGGACCAAUACUGACGCUGAGGCGCGAAGGCGUGGGGAGCAAACAGG
rnacentral:rRNA from 1 species